AACCUUAUGGACCUGCGGGCGUAUACCUGCGGAGGGAUCAUUACCGAGUUUACAAACUCCCAACCCUAUGUGAACCUUACCAAUCGUUGCUUCGGCGGGCUUAGCCCCCGCGCCCUCGCCGGCGCCGGGAGAAAGGCGCCCGCCGGGGACCCCAAACCCAAUGUUUUUCAUGCAGUAUUUCUGAGUGGCAAACGCAAAAAUAAAUCAAAACUUUUAACAAUGGAUCUCAGAUCGGAAGAG
rnacentral:misc_RNA from 1 species